UGAAUACGAGAUGCUACGGCGUCGAAGCAGUCUAUGUCAUACUUCCAAGAAAAGCUUGCACUGUCAUAAACAAAUAAUGCCUGUACCAUAACCGACACAGGUGGGUAGGUAGAGUAUACUAAGGGGCGCGAGAUAACUCCCUCUAAGGAACUCGGCAAAAUGACUCCGUAACUUCGGGAGAAGGAGUGCCUUAUUUAUAAGGUUGCAAUAACAAGAUCCAAGCAACUGUUUACCAAAAACACAGGUCUCCGCUAAGUCGUAGGACGAUGUACGGGGGCUGACGCCUGCCCAGUGCCAGAAGGUUAAAGAAGUUGGUUAGCAUCCGCGAAGCUGAUAACUGAAGCCCUGGUGAACGGCGGCCGUAACGAUAACGGUCCUAAGGUAGCGAAAUCCCUUGUCGGGUAAGUUCCGACCCGCACGAAAGGCGUAAUGAUUUGGAUACUGUCUCGGAGAGGGGCUCGGUGAAAUAGACUUGUCUGUGAAGAUGCGGACUACCUGCACCAGGACAGAAAGACCCUAUGAAGCUUUACUGUAACCUGAAAUUGAAUUUGGACUUUACUUGCGCAGUAUAGGUGGGAGGCGUUGAGAAUAUUCUUGCGGGAUUAUUGGAGCCAUCAGUGAGAUACCACUCUUGUAAUGUUAGAUUUCUAACUUUGUAUCGUUAUCUGGUCAAAGAACAGUUUCAGGCGGGCAGUUUGACUGGGGCGGUCGCCUCCUAAACGGUAACGGAGGCGCACAAAGGUUUCCUCUGAACGGGUAGAAAUCGUAUCUAGAGUGUAAAGGCAUAAGGAAGCUUGACUGUGAGACCUACAAGUCGAGCAGGGACGAAAGUCGGUCUUAGUGAUCUGACGGUGCUGAGUGGAAAGGCCGUCACUCAACGGAUAAAAGUUACUCUAAGGAUAACAGGCUGAUCUCCCCCAAGAGUUCACAUCGACGGGGAGGUUUGGCACCUCGAUGUCGGCUCAUCGCAUCCUGGGGCGGUAGUACGUCCCAAGGGUUGGGCUGUUCGCCCAUGAAAGCGGUACGCGAGCUGGGUUCAGAACGUCGUGAGACAGUUCGGUCCAUAUCCGGUGUAGGCGUUAGAAUAUUGAGAGGAGCCUUCUUUAGUACGAGAGGACCGAGAAGGACAUACCUCUGGUGUACCAGUUAUCGUGCCAACGGUAAACGCUGGGUAGCUAUGUGUGGAGUGGAUAACCGCUGAAAGCAUCUAAGUGGGAAGCCCACCUCAAGAUAAGUAUUCUCAUC
rnacentral:rRNA from 1 species